AUCUUCGGACCUCGCGCCAUUAGAUGAGCCUAGGUCGGAUUAGCUAGUUGGUGAGGUAAUGGCUCACCAAGGCGACGAUCCGUAACUGGUCUGAGAGGAUGAUCAGCCACACUGGGACUGAGACACGGACCAGACUCCUACGGGAGGCAGCAGUGAGGAAUAUUGGUCAAUGGACGCAAGUCUGAACCAGCCAUGCCGCGUGCAGGAUGACGGUCCUANGGAUUGUAAACUGCUUUGUACGAGAAGAAACAACAUUACGUGUAAUGUCUUGACGGUAUCGUAAGAAUAAGGAUCGGCUAACUCCGUG
rnacentral:rRNA from 1 species